UCGUGCAAGAAUAAAACCGCCCAAUGCAAAUUGUAAAAGAAGAGCAAAUGCUCCAAAUGUGCUAGCAACUCCCAUGGUCCUUCCUACUGCCGCGAUAAAUCUGAACAACGCUGAUGCCAUCUGGUUUACUAGUAACAGUAGCAAAAAUUGUUUGAAAAACCUGCAUAUAAGAUAGUCAUCAAUAAUCAUGAGAGAAACCAUAUUUGUGACAGUAAGCCAAUUAAUAUAUACUAUAGUCUUUCUUCACUUACCUUCCAACAUUGGGAUCAAAUCCCAUAACAUAAUACGUGAGGAACACCCACAUCCCAACUUCAGCAAAAGUUACAGGGAGACUAGUAAGAGUAGCAAGAAUUGUUUGAAAAAUCUGCAUACAAGAUAGUCGAUCAAUAAUCAGCAUAUUUGUGACAGUAAACCAAUGAAUAUAUACCAUAGUCUUUCUUUCUUUACCUUCCAACAUUGGGAUCAAAUCCGAUGACAUAAUAGGUGAGGAACACCCACAUUCCAACUUCAGCAAAAGUUACAGGGAUUUUGAGGAUCCAUGAGGGAAUUGC
rnacentral:lncRNA from 1 species